rfam:Agrobacterium sp. DSM 25559 isolate DSM25559 genome assembly, contig: DSM25559_contig8
UAGGCUUGCUGUAGCUCCGCAGCGGCGCCUGGGAUAUGGUCGCAAUGACGACGAUAUGCCGACACCGUAGCAAUUUCGGAGCUCAA